CACACAGAAAAGCCCCACUGUUGGAGUAAACACGUCCCAAUGAGCCCCCACUUCUGGAUACUGGAAGAAUGGACAGCGCCCAUGGCCGGGCUUGCCGCAUCCAUCAGGACCGGAUUCAGCACAGGACGACGUCCCUCAGAACCAUCAAGAAUGUUCCAAAUAGAUAGGAUGAAACAAGGAAAGCCUUUCUCUCUGCCACUGUGUGUGGUGGGGGUGGGUGCGUGUUUGAGGGAGGUUUUCUUGUCAGGACCUCGUUGCAACAACAGACUGAAGGAAUGCUCUGGAGAGAUGCUGCAUCGCGGCAGCAGAUGCCGACAAGGCCGGCAAGCUGUGAUCAAGCUGUGCCUCCGUCCUCCCCACUCUCUCCCAUCAGCUGGACGGCUUCAACAGCAGGGUGCCCCAGAUUCAAAGACCACCUCCCCCCUCCCAUCCUUUUCAAACACCUGCAGCCUCUCCAAUCUGGAGCCUUGCUGACACCUGGUGGUCAAAAGUCGCAGUGCAACUAGAGCACGAGAUUCAGUUGGGAGGUUGGCUAAAGGUUCCAGAUAUUCCUGGGCACAUCCAGCAAUCACUUCCUGCAGCUUGACAUCCACCUGGCUCAGACGUUCCUUAUACAAUCUACACAACGUUUGAAAGAAAAGUAUCAGAAUGUGACAUUCAAAUGAUGGCUGUAAGAUAAUGUGCAACGGAUGCAGUAAGGGUUAAAGCAUAGAUGAUAGUUAAACCAGAAGCAGCUCGAACAAUGUUGUGUGCACAAUGCAAACGCACAUAGGUGUUUCUAGCCCAAUUUUGGGGGAUGCUGAAACUCCCCUAAAAGGAAUCCUACCACCCCUAAAAUUUGAGAGAUAAAAAAAAAACAUUUUAUUUUUUAACUGAAUGUCAUUUUGUAACAACCUAGGAAAGUGUAAAGCUAGAAAGUACUUGGUUGAAAGUACAUUUUAACAAUAACAACAAACUAUCAUCAGUACCAGUCCUCAUUUUUGAAGCAUUUAAUUGUAGGUCACUGUUUAUGUUAGGUAGCUGCACCACUGACCCCCAAAUUAGGGUUACAAUGUUUAUUUUAUGAUUCCAAUUUAUUCCUCUUUUGCUGUGGCUCAACAUUUAAAUAACCUUGUUCUGAUUUGACAGUUGAGUCACAGGCUUUCCCUAACCCCCCCCCAGAAAUGUUAGAAUAAAAUUGUGUUAGCGUGUAUAAAACAGUUCAAUUUAUUAGCAGUACCUUCCUCCCAUUUCUGACACUGAGAGAGGAAACUUACUGCUCCUUCAAGUCUGUGAACUGUUUCUCCAGAGUGGUCAUCUCGUCCAGGCACUCCAUCCUCCUCCUCUCACAGUCUUCAUCAUCCAUCUCUGUUCACAUAUGAAGAAGACAUGGCAGGUUGGGCAUAGGAAU